UACAGGUAGCACAAGUGGUGUCCACGAAUAUUGAGUCUAAAGCGCCCGUAGCUGGCCUUGCCAGUCUUCUGUGAAAUCUUGCGGCUUAACCGCAAGGCGUGCAGAAGAUACUACAAGGCUUGGGAGUGGGGGAGGUCAGAGGUACUAUAGGGGGAGGAGUAAAAUCCUGUAAUCCUUGUAGGACCCUCGGUGGCGAAGGCGUCUGACCAAAACACAUCCGACAGUGAGGGACGAAGGCUAGGGGAGCGAACCG
rnacentral:rRNA from 1 species